UACGAGGGGUGCAAACGUUAUUCGGAAUUAUUGGGCGUAAAGGGUGUGCAGGCGGCAUUUUAAGUCUGCUGUUAAAGAUCUCGGCCUAACCGAGAAAAGGCAGUGGAUACUGAAAUGCUAGAGGAUGGAAGAGAGAAGUGGAAUUCUUGGAGUAGCGGUAAAAUGCGUAGAUCUCAAGAGGAACACCGAUGGCGAAAGCAGCUUCUUGGUCCAUUCCUGACGCUAAGACACGAAAGCGUGGGGAGCAAACAGG
rnacentral:misc_RNA from 1 species